rnacentral:rRNA from 1 species
AUGAACGCUGGCGGCGUGCCUAAUCCAUGCCAGUCGAGCGAACAGACGAGGAGCUUGCUCCUAUGACGUUAGCGGCGGACGGGUGAGUAACACGUGGAUAACCUACCUAUAAGACUGGGAUAACUUCGGGAAACCGGAGCUAAUACCGGAUAAUAUAUUGAACCGCAUGGUUCAAUAGUGAAAGACGGUUUUGCUGUCACUUAUAGAUGGAUCCGCGCCGCAUUAGCUAGUUGGUAAGGUAACGGCUUACCAAGGCAACGAUGCGUAGCCGACCUGAGAGGGUGAUCGGCCACACUGGAACUGAGCCACGGUCCAGACUCCUACGGGAGGCAGCAGUAGGGAAUCUUCCGCAAUGGGCGAAAGCUUGACGGAGCAACGCCGCGUGAGUGAUGAAGGUCUUCGGAUCGUAAAACUCUGUUAUUAGGGAAGAACAAAUGUGUAAGUAACUAUGCACGUCUUGACGGUACCUAAUCAGAAAGCCACGGCUAACUACGUG